UACGUAGGGUGCAAGCGUUGUCCGGAAUCAUUGGGCGUAAAGCGCGCGUAGGCGGCCCGAUAAGUCCGCUGUAAAAGUCAACGGCUCAACUGUUGAAAGCCGGUGGAUACUGUCGGGCUAGAGUACGGAAGAGGCAAAUGGAAUUCCUGGUGUAGCGGUGGAAUGCGCAGAUAUCAGGAGGAACACCUAUAGCGAAGGCAGCUUGCUGGGACGUUACUGACGCUAAGGCGCGAAAGCGUGGGGAGCGAACAGG
rnacentral:rRNA from 1 species